rnacentral:rRNA from 1 species
AUACGGAGGGAGCGAGCGUUAAUCGGAAUUACUGGGCGUAAAGCGCGCGUAGGCGGCUUUGUAAGUCGGAUGUGAAAGCCCAGGGCUCAACCCUGGAAUUGCAUUCGAUACUGCAUAGCUAGAGUAUGGUAGAGGGAAGUGGAAUUUCCGGUGUAGCGGUGAAAUGCGUAGAUAUCGGAAGGAACACCGGUGGCGAAGGCGACUUCCUGGGCCAAUACUGACGCUGAGGUGCGAAAGCGUGGGGAGCAAACAGGAUUAGAAACCCCAGUAGUCC